UACGUAGGGUGCAAGCGUUGUCCGGAAUUAUUGGGCGUAAAGAGCUCGUAGGCGGUCUGUCACGUCGGCUGUGAAAACCCGGGGCUCAACCCCGGGCCUGCAGUCGAUACGGGCAGACUAGAGUGCGGUAGGGGAGACUGGAAUUCCUGGUGUAGCGGUGAAAUGCGCAGAUAUCAGGAGGAACACCGGUGGCGAAGGCGGGUCUCUGGGCUGACACUGACGCUCAUGCACGAAAGCGUGGGGAGCGAACGGG
rnacentral:rRNA from 1 species